UGGGGAAUAUUGCGCAAUGGGCGAAACCCUGACGCAGCGACGCCGCGUGUGGGAUGACGGCCUUCGGGUUGUAAACCACUGUCGCGAGGGACGAAACAAAUGACGGUACCUCGAAAGGAAGCACCGGCUAACUCUGUGCCAGCAGCCGCGGUAAUACAGAGGGUGCGAGCGUUGUCCGGAAUUACUGGGCGUAAAGGGCGCGUAGGCGGCCCGAUAAGUAGGAGGUGAAAUUCCGUGGCUUAACCACGGAACUGCCUUCUAGACUGUCAGGCUUGAGCACGGUAGAGGCAGAUGGAAUUCCCGGUGUAGCGGUGGAAUGCGUAGAGAUCGGGAAGAACACCAGUGGCGAAGGCGGUCUGCUGGGCCGUUGCUGACGCUGAUGCGCGACAGCGUGGGGAGCAAACAGGAUUAGAUACCCCCGUAGUCC
rnacentral:rRNA from 1 species